rnacentral:rRNA from 1 species
GCGCUCCCUUCGGAACACGAGUGACAGGUGGUGCAUGGUUGUCGUCAGCUCGUGUCGUGAGAUGUUGGGUUAAGUCCCGUAACGAGCGCAACCCUUGUUGUUAGUUGCCAUCAUUUAGUUGGGCACUCUAGCGAGACUGCCGGUGACAAACCGGAGGAAGGUGGGGAUGACGUCAAAUCAUCAUGCCCCUUAUGAGCUGGGCUACACACGUGCUACAAUGGAUGGUACAGCGAGACGCUAAACCGCGAGGUCAAGCUAAUCUCCUAAAGCCAUUCUCAGUUCGGAUUGCAGGCUGCAACUCGCCUGCAUGAAGCCGGAAUCGCUAGUAAUCGUGGAUCAGAAUGCCGCGGUGAAUACGUUCCCGGGCUCUUACACACACCGCAAAAAA